rnacentral:lncRNA from 1 species
GGAAAACUUACAUGGUCCUUGGGAAAACACAUCCCAGAGCAUCAGUUAGAGCUAGUUCACAAAGAGCCAGAGGAAGGUCAGUACAAGAGAAAGAAAUGUUACCAUGAUCAGCUACAUAGUUAACAGUCCAGUCAGCCGCUUGAUUGCCCUUGUGGUAGGUGUGUGAGAUGUGGAAUGAUUCAAGGUCCUGAGUGACUAGCAGAAUAUCCAGCAACAAGAGAUGAUUUCUAGAUGUAAGAGAUGGCAAGUGGUUGAUCCAGACUGGCCCUCAAGCCAUAUAUGAAAUGCCCUCAGAAUUUUGACUGUGCAGCAGACACCUUCCCAUUUAGCAGACAGGUCCAUCAUGGCUACAUUUCUACUCCGUUGGAAGCUGCCACUGGCUGCUACAGUGGCUCCCAUGUGAUCGUGGAUAAUGUGUCCAGCACCACAGCGGGUCUACCUCCCUCAUUGAUGGACCUGCCGAAAACAUCAACAUUAUAACCUGAAAAUUUUUUGAACCAUGGAAGACAUGCUGUAGGUACAAACUUUUUUAUACCUAAAUAUCUAGAAAAAUUACAGCUCCAAAACCAUGGCUGUAAUGGGCUUGUAACAUUUGAUGUCUCAGUUAUCACGAGUCUAUGAAAUAUCUGGACCUCCAAAGAACCUUAAAAUAUGCUGUGGAAGCUCAUGUCCACAACACUGUAAAUCUGAAAUGGAAGCACUGUACCAUAUUUCUUGAUCUAUACAUGAGGUCACUGUGGUGAGCAGAACCUGGACUUGAAAACAAGAAUGAUUGGAAAG